rfam:Schizopora paradoxa strain KTC8140 unplaced genomic scaffold SCHPAscaffold_00134, whole genome shotgun sequence.
GGCCUGAUGGUCUAGUCGUAUGAUACUCGCUUCGGGCUUUCGAGUUCUUCCCGAAUUGGGAAGUCACGUGACCAUAUGCGAGUGGCCCCGGGUUCAAUUCCCGGUCAGGCCC